GUUUGAGAGACCAGGGUCAGUCCACAGAGCACUAUGGGGGUUAAGCCUCUUGCCUAAGGGUCCGACAGCGACAUUACUCUGCCGACCAUAGGAUUUGUACGGGCGAUCUUCCGAUCUCAGUUUUGGGAGAGAAUCCGUUGGUCAGCCAGUCCUUCUGGUCUUUGCUGGACGAUGGUUUGUGUGAUUGAGCAAAGAAAAGAUGAUUCUCAUCAUCAGUGAUGCAUCUGAUUUAGUUGUGUCUCCUGCUUCAUCCUAUUCUUGUGUCCUGUGGUCUUAGAAGCUGUGAGCCUGGAAGCAGCCUGCCUUCCAAUGUAGCCUCUGCCAACAGAACCAGGAUUAAACCAAGAUUUAACAAUGCAGAUAUGGG